GAACAUUCGAGUGAGACGUGUACAGUCGACAUUUUUCUUCGUAUUAUUCAUAAUUUCUUGAAGAUGACGAUAAUAAUGCGCACCUGCGUCCCUAGUCGACGAAUCGACAGGUGUGGAGAAAAAGUUUAUUCUCGCCGGGUAUCAUUGACCCGGUCACUACCCGGCUGUAUACGCGAUGCACUACGCCAAUGCGCCAGACGCCGAGGGGUUGCUCACCCCUUCCUGUCUGCACCCUCACAUCGAAACGUGGUCGAGGCUUUUGCACGGACAGUACCACUCGAGUAUUCGAUCCCGCCACUCUCUUCCUCUCUCACUUCCUCAUCAAUUCUGAGUGUUCUGUACCGCCGCGGGAAUAUGGGCGAGGCGCCAGUACGACCGAGAGAGAGAAAGAGAGAGAGAGAGAGAGAGAGAGAGAGAGAGAGAGAGAGAGAGGUGAGGGCUGCAGAGAAUUACACGAAACGAGGUAGAUGCACCCCGUAGAACGAGUCGAGCAAUUUAUCGCGGAGAUCCCCUUAUCUUUCCGACCGGCCAACCGUCGUCCAUCAAGUCUGAUGGUAAGAGCGACUUUUUCUUUACGGUAAGAGAGCGGCUGCUUUCGGUAUCAUUAAUAAAACAUAGAUUAUUUUAUUCUAUUUUAUUCCUCUCUCUCCCUUUGUGAGCGUACAAGUA